CAGUAUGGCGAAAUAUUCGAGGUUCAAGUCUUAAUGUUUCGAAUACCGGGUCGUACCGAACGCGGCGGGAUUAUUUGUUGGAAUAUUUGCUGUUAUCAUUCAUAUCGAUGUCAUGCAAACAGAAAUGGAAGACGAAACCUUCAUCUUCUCCAAUUCGAAGAAACCAGGAAAGCUCCCAAGCAUGAUGGAAAAUUGUCAACUGGCCGGAUUUAUUUUGGAAAAUCUGCCAGCAGCUUAGUAACAAUGACAAGAUAUGCUUCGACAUUUUGAGGCUGGAUUCAUAUGAAUCCCACUUCUCCACGCCUGGUACAUUCUACAGCCGUAAUCAUAGACGCUCAAGAGGGAGAGAUACAAGAUGCAGCUGUCAAUAUAUAGUGUUGUAACUACAAGCACUGGGUGCUGCUAACACUGUCAUCGAUGCCAGCACCACCAGUGCUGCCCCCCCACCUCCAUCUUAUGAUAGCCCCUCUAUACCUUAAGUUGCACUUUUAAGAGACUUAAAUUUUGUUGAUAUAUCUGCCAAAAAAAAAAAAAAAAAAUUGUUUCCAGAGUGCGUAGAGCAUAGCUACGUAAUUGGGAGUUAAAUUAGAAUACAACUCAACCAACAUCUGUACAGCAAAAGGUUAUUGUAUUUAGUUUCUCUCUACUAUGGCCGAUGGUUAAAAUUCUUUACAUAUUUGAAAAACAUGCUUUGAUAGUUUUCACAAUAUAAUAUGGUAGUAAUAAAAAAAAAAAAAAACAUAAUCAUUCGGUUAUCUGCUCAUAUAUUAAUUAUUGUUCAAAAAUUAUAACUAAAAAAUUGUUUUCUUUGUUUGUUUGUGUGAAAUAGUAUCUGAUAGAUACUCAAAUCAUUGUUGUACCAGAUAUAAGAACCAAUAUUAAUCCUUUACAUGUAAUAUCAAAUGAUAAACCCCUUUUGUUAACUGCAAAUAUUUUAUUUUGAUUUUCAGACACGGUGCAUUUGUGCUCCAAGUACACCGUUUCCAAGUACAUGCAAAGGAUAAAUAGGUUAAAAUCAAAAGGCAACAAUUUAGAAACUCGUCGGUAAACACAAUUAGCAAUAUGACAAGUAGGUCAAUACAUUUUGAGAGAUUGAAAAACAGUAGACAAAAGUGAUUGUGUGUUCAAGUGCUCAGUAAGAAAAAGAGAGAUAAAAGAUUGUGGACAUACUCUAAACCAACUAUUGCAUAAGUGCUUAUUUUUAUGAUGGAACUGGAGAAUUGAAUGGAAACAACUGUUAGGUUACAAGCUGUCAAAAUUAGAAUAAAAUAGGACUUUCUAUACAUGGUAAAAAGAAGCUAUUCUUAAAGUGACUGAUACGUUGUGCAUUGAGGUGUUAGGUGGCCAAUGAGUGAACAGGAAAUCAGUAAAGCAUUUAGGCAUAUUUGCAUAUAAUCCAUAUUUUAAACCUUGCAAGACAAAAUAUGUUAAAUGUAUGAUGAUUUACAUCUAGAAGAUAGUUCGCAGAAACUCCUAGAAUCCGGGAAAAAAUGUGCAAAUGGACUUCAUCUCAAAAGAUUAUUGAUACAAAAAGUUUGAGUCUUAACUGCCCCAUGGAUAAAGAAAGUGCCAUUUCCCAGAUAUGUGUAAAUUUGGCUAUACAACCAUCAAAUACCUUAGCUGUUGUAAGUCUUAACGUGAUAGUUGUGUGUUCUACCCUACAAUCGCGGAGACCAGGAUUAUCCCAAUGCAAAACCAUUUUCGAUCUGCCAUGUAAAAUAAUCUUUUGAAACUUUUCAAGUAAACUAACUGCACUGGUAAUCCUGGAAGCCUUUUGCUUUGGGCCAAAAUUAUAAAUGAAGCGCUAGUACUGUCGCGGAAUAACCAGGUGCUGGCUGUUUAUCAGAAGUUAAUUGUAAUGAAGUUGAAAAUAACAGAAUUAGGUUGUAUAUUCUCAAGGAAAAAAGUUGACAAGAUUGGAGACUACAUUUGU